rnacentral:rRNA from 1 species
GCGAAGUCCAUGAAGACGCCGCCGGACGACGUGGUCCGCGAGAUCCUCCUGCGCCUCGACGACGUGGUCACCCUCUUCCGUUGCGCGGCCACGUGCAAGCACUGGCGACGCCUCGUAGCCGAGCCCUCCUUCCUCCUCCGGCGCCGGUGGCCGCCCUCCCUGGCUGGCUUCUUCACUCAGAGAUCCCUCGUCAUGAGGUUCCCAGGGACCAGCCCCACAGACUCCUCCAGCCAGCUCGCCUUCGUUCCGGCGCCCUCGUCGCCUUCGUCGUUGUUUGGCCCUGAUCGCCGCCCACUGACGUCCUUCGUCCCCAACACCGACGCCCCCGUCGUCGACCGUGCUGUGCCGCUCGUCACGCGCGGCGGCCUCCUCCUGGUGCGCCUGUACCCACACGACGAUGACCCGGAACCCAAUGUCCUUCGCUUGGCUGUGUGCGACACGCUCGCCGGCAGGUGGGACGUGCUGCCCGAGCUGGACUGCAGCUGCCGGUUCGGCAACUCUGACCCUUGCGGCCGCGCCAUCAUACUGAGCAGCUCCGGCGAGGACAGGCCAGCCUUCAGAGUCCUAUUGAUCGGCGCCGACAAGUACAAGUCGCAGUUCAACCUCCACCGAUUCGCCUCCAGCGAGCGGAGCUGGAGCGCGCCCGCCAAGUGCUUCAACAUGAUGGAGCAUCAGAUCUGGUUCAUGGAGGAGGAGAACGCCGUGAUGUGCCGAGGCAAUGCGCACUGGCUGUGCGUCAGCAACUCGCACCGUUUCCACGUCCUCAACGUCGACGUCGAGACAGGCCACGUCUCCCUGACGAAGCUCGUGUGUCCAUUCGUCCCACCGACUAUGGCUGACCACAUGCGUUUGAACCGUCUCUCGACCACGGUAGACGGCGCACUCUUGUCGCUUUGUGUGUACCGUGGCCGCCAGCUAGAGAUCUGGACACAACAACAAGACAACAAAGACCGGAGCAGAGAUGGCGAUGCAGAGUGGCUCCGCACUAGGGUGAUAGACCAAAAACUGUCCGAGGUCAUCCAACAGAGUGGAUGUCCGUCAUGCAUUUGGUCGGGAGAGAGGAGCGGCACGCUGCUCAUCACAGAUUACGCCAGCGGGGGCAUGUACAUUGCUCAUCUCAACACAACGACAUUAGAAGAGGUGACAGACCGCUUUCGUGAUUAUAAUGUAAUCGUGCCUAUGGAGAUAGACUGGCCAACCUUCUUCAUGACGCGCCUU